GCAGUGUUAGUACAGUGGUUAGUACACUUGACAUGGAUACAAGAGACAUGGUUUCGGGACCUCUGAUGCUGCA
rnacentral:tRNA from 1 species